GGACAAAGCAAGAAUAGUCAAAAGGUAAGCCGAGGUCGAGGGAGCCGGAGGACAGGUAAGCGAGAUACAAGCCGAGUCAAAGGAGAGGAGAGGACAACAGGACAAAAGACAAGCAAGGGUCAAAACCGAAAACACAAGAUAAAGAACGCGCUGAGUGACUAGCAAGCUAGAACCACGACAGGGCAAUGAGCAGUAGUAAAGGUUUCCUUUAAAU